rnacentral:lncRNA from 1 species
AUAAUUUUAAUUCAUUUCAUCCUAUUGGCUUAACCCUCUCUCAAACAUGCCUUUACCACUGGAAAUCACACCUUCACUCCAGAGGCGGCAGAGCGUUCCAGAUGAGCCUCAAACCACCAUAAUCCUGGCCCUCUCAGCCUCCUCUUUCCCUUUCUUGCAAGAAUUUCCUUUGAAGAACCCUAACAUUUAAAAACCAAAAUUAAACCAUCAAAGAGGGGGAAUCAAGCCACACAACCUUGGGUAUUUGAUUCCCCUCAACCUACUAUACAUUGAGGUAUAUGUUUAGAAGCAAGUAGAAGUAAUAAAGUGUAACCAACCUACAAGGUCGUGGCUCACCUUGGUAUGUUUCUAAGGAUGAAGACCAGAGAAUAUCCAGGUAAAGUUCCGAAUCCCUUGUUUUGCCUUUAGAUUUCUUCUUCUUAUUCUUCAAUGGGUAGUCCGUAGGUGGAAAUUUCUUACUCUGUGUUGUUGUUGAUUGCGUGAGGGAAGAGUGAUAGAGUUUAAGAGAGUUCAGAUAGAGAGAGAAUUUCAGAGUGAUUGAGAGAGUGAGAAUUUUCUGUGAGUUUCGUACAACGAUGAUCAUUGUUGAUGAAUUGAAGAGUGGGGGGAUUUAUAGGGAUUGAGUCCCUAACUGUUUAGGGCACAAUUAGUUUGAGUGAAAUUGGGGGGUAGAUUAGUUAGAGGUUAAUAACACUAUGAAAUGUUGUUAGAGUUGGUUACUAUGAGUUGAAUCAGUUUAUUUGAAGUGUUUGAAUUGAGUGUUAGUUAGUUAGCAGUUAGCAAAGUUAAGUUUCUCUGUUAGUUAGUUAGGAGAUUAGUGUUAAUGAACUGAGAUGGGUUAGUGUGAAGUGUUCAGUUAGUUGCAGUUAGUUGCAGUUUGGUCAGUUGACAGUUAGAGAUAGCAACUGUCAUAAGUUAGUUGUGUGCUAAUUGGAUGGAGUGAGUUGAACUGCAACUGUUAGUAAAAAUAGUUAGUUAGGGCUAAUUAGAAAAAUGUUAGUAAAAUGGGAUUAGUGAAUUAUGAAAUCUGUUAUGCUGCAAUUAUGAAAUGUCAGCUAAUUGUGAUGCUUAGUGUUAGAAAAAUGAACUUGUUAAGAUGUUUUUGUUAGUGAAAUUGUUAUGAUUAAAAUGCCCUGUUAUUAAGGAUGAAAAAAUCUGGUGAUUAAGAAUUUAAUACUCAUUGAGUUGUUGAAUGCAAUGUUUAGUUGGUUUGAAAUUGAGUUGAGAUGUCAUGUUGUUAUUGAUGUGCUAAAUUGUGAUACUUGUUAUAUUAUGAUGCAUGUUGCCAAUUGGUUUGAUGUUGAACAUUAGUUAUGGUUAGUUGAUGUCAGUUUCUUAAAAAAAGAUGAUACUAAUGAUAGUAGGUUGAAUUAGCAAUGUUAAUGGGAUUGUGUUAUUCUACUAUAUGAUUGAUGUUGGUUUUGAAACCAAACUGAAUGUUAACUGAACUGCUAUGGAGAUUUGAUGAAUAUUAGUUGCUUGAACUGUUAUAUGAAAUUGCAUUGCUUCAGAGCUUGAACUGCCAUAGGCCCUUUUAAAUCAAUGGAAUUGUUAAUCAAUCAUUAGUAUUCAUAGUUGCAGUUAAUGAUUUAAUUGGGAUGGAAACACUUAGCUUGGUUAAUUGGUGAUGAACUGAAAUGUGGCAUUAGAAAUUGGUUAGGAGCUUGUACUAUAUUAGUGAGUUCUGUAGGAUUAGACUGGUAUUGUCAAUAGGAUUAAUUUAUGCAAAUGCAUCUCUUUUUGAAUUGUGGAACUGUGAUUGUUAACAUCUAGGUUAGUGAAUCAAAUCAAUCAAUGGUUAUUAUGUAUGUUAGCCAUCAACUUGGAUGCUAGGUUGGUUUUGAACUAUUGGUGUAAUGUGUUUUAUAUAUAUUGUUGUCAUGGUUUGUUUGAUUGAGGUUUUUUUACUGUAUUUGCUAUAGGGUUGGUCUGCUCAUGGUAUUUGGUAUGGGAUGGCAAGGUUUGGAGAUGGCUUAAGCAUGGUGGUGGCAAGGUUUUAAGAAAUGGAACAAAAAUGGCAUGGAACCAUAUAGAUCAUGAAAGCUUUUGGCAAAUCAGGGCAUGAAUGAAGAAAAUCUUGGAAAGGGAAGACCAAAGUGGAUUUAGGGGUUAGGGUAGUUAGUUUGACUUUGGUCAAAUGUUGACCAAAAAGUCAACAAUUGACCAAAAUCAACUUUAGGUCAACAAUGGGUAUUUUUGUAUAGAAUUUGGAUUUGAAUAUCUUGUAAUGAAACUUGGAAUGUUUGUAAUGAGAUUUGACCCUUGAAUUGUAGUAUGUGACUUGCAUUCUAAGAAACACAUUUUUUCCUCCGAAUUGCAUUUGAAAAUUUGAAAUUGAAUUGAACUUGAAUGCUUUGAAUAAUAA